ACGAACGCUGGCGGCGUGCUUAACACCUGCAAGUCGAACGGAAAGGCCCUGCUUUUGUGGGGUGCUCGAGUGGCGAACGGGUGAGUAACACGUGAGUAACCUGCCCUUGACUUUGGGAUAACUUCAGGAAACUGGGGCUAAUACCGGAUAGGAGCUCCUGCUGCAUGGUGGGGGUUGGAAAGUUUCGGCGGUUGGGGAUGGACUCGCGGCUUAUCGGCUUGUUGGUGGGGUAGUGGCUUACCAAGGCUUUGACGGGUAGCCGGCCUGAGAGGGUGACCGGCCACAUUGGGACUGAGAUACGGCCCAGACUCCUACGGGAGGCAGCAGUGGGGAAUAUUGCACAAUGGGCGGAAGCCUGAUGCAGCAACGCCGCGUGCGGGAUGACGGCCUUCGGGUUGUAAACCGCUUUCGCCUGUGACGAAGCGUGAGUGACGGUAAUGGGUAAAGAAGCACCGGCUAACUACGUG
rnacentral:rRNA from 1 species